UUUCCAUUCAUACAGGGUAUGUUGAAAAAGACAUUGAGUAAGGCAUAGAGCUUAAAGAAAAGAACUCUGCCUGAAUUAGUCACAUGCAUCAUUUAUUGAAACAAACAAUACAGAACUAUAUAUUUUUACUGUUCAGUGUUUGCUGUCUGAAGCAUGCCAUUUUUGGUGCAACUGUUCCUUUAAAAAAAUACAACCAAUAGCACUGAGGGGGAAGGGUUAACAACCACCCAACAUUUUUAAGGUGGAACGGAUAGUUCGGCGAAUAAGGAGCUGGAGUCAGCCUCGUCAAUGCCCAUUUGUGUUUCGUUGCGUCCCGUUGCAUUCAAAGACAAACGCCCGAAAUGUGGAACUAAACAGCGCUAACGUUAGUUUGUUGACCAUUCACCAUCAGACAGUACUGCGAUUUGCUGGGAGAUCCAGGGCACCAAGUGACCAAGAGCACACAAUGGAAGCAGCCUAGAAAGGCAAAGACAAAGGUGACGAUAUUCAGCACUUUAACGGAGGGAGAGGUGGAAGACCUUGCCAAGGGGUUUGGAAUGACACUGACCAAAGGUCCAAAAGACAAACUACUUUCUGGGAUACCUGAAGAGGACAUCCCAGCAACACUGAGGAGCAUUGAACAAAUGAAGUUUAAUGUGCAAAACCUUGGGCCUGAAUCAGAGCUGGAUUUGGCCACUCACCGCUUUGGGCCUACAGCAGCUGAUUUUUUCUUUUCCUUUUUAGAGGACUGUAUGAAAUAAACUCAGCACAAAUAAGGGGCACACAUAUACUAACGUGGAAGC